GGGGUUGUAGUUUUAUAACAUUUAAAUUGCAAUUAAAAAAUACUAAUCAUAAUUAGUCUUCCUCA
rnacentral:tRNA from 1 species